ACUGGUGGUGGUGGCUCCACUCUGGGCUGGCUGGUCUCUGUCGCCGCCGCUGCCGCUGCCUGCGCUGCGCCCGGUUGAUAGGCCAUAAACGAAAAUUUUGAACUUCAUGCUCGUCUAUUCGGCUCGGUCUAUUCGGUGGUUUCGGUGUGCUCGCAGCGGCAGCCAGCAGCGUUGUGUGCAUUUCUAUCGUCUCUCUCGUGUAAAAAGCAGCUGAAAAGCUAAGAAGCUGAGUACUGAAGCAGCGGCCGCCAGCACAAAAUAAUACAAAAAUUAAAAAUAUUCAAUAUUUCCAACAACAAAAAAUAGAAAAAAACGAACAAAAAUAUCACAAAUACUCGAACCAAAACGAUAAUCGAACAGCCAUCAAAAAAUACAAUAAUUAUUAUUUAUUUUCUGUAUAUGGUUCUUGUGGGAAAACUGCAGUGUUCCCGAUCGGAAAACGGUUUACGGGCAUUAAAACAUUUUUUCAUUUAUUAUUUACAUUUUUGGUUUGUGUUUCAACAAAUGCAAAAAAGAGACACGAAUAACUGCAAGCGCGUGAGUGUUUUUUAACAAGUGAUUGAAAGCCAAAUGUCACUGUGAAAAUGACUCCACAAACCAACACCAAUUUUAACCACCUCAACAACAUCCAGAGAAACAUUCAACGCCACCAAAACCGGCAAAUGCAACAAAAUGCCACAAAUUUGGAACAUUUAAACAACUAAAAAUCAACGACAAAAAAUUGAAAAUAAUUUCUUUAGAAUUGAAAACCAAAAUUAAAGCAAAAAUGAACUGAAGAGAAGAACUUUAUGACAAACAAAACGCAACGCAAAAAUUUACAAAUUGGCAUUAAAUAAUUUUUGGUCUAAAUUUGAACACCAACAAAAUUAAAAAACAAAAGCGAUUUUUGGCAAAGCUGCGUGCAAAAAAAUAAAGAAUACAAAUUUGAAUAAAAAAUUAUCUCAAACGUCCACACGGGAAGGGAAAAUGUUUUGCAACUAAAAAAAGGAAACAACUAAAAAUUUAAUAAAAUCAAUGUAAAAUUUUAAAUUAAUCAAACCAAAAACCGUCGUAAACAACAAAUCAAAGAAACAACAAAACCCAAAAUCAGUUAGAAAACAGAGGGAAAUCUUUUUGGACCAAACGCAAAAAGCAUCCAAAAUUUAAGCCAACAAAAUUGGUCAACUCUUCAAAAUUAUUGGUUCGGACAUACCGCAAUACUAUACACAGCAGCACUACAACAGCAAAAACUACAGUAAACAAAAUACUACAGUAACCGCUACAGUAAUCACUCCUCAGUAACAACAACAGCAGCAGCAGAGCAGAGAACGUGUGUGUUAGUUUGCAUAAAAAUUUCGUUUCGAUAAAAAGCAAAGCAAAGUAAAAGCUAAAGCAAAACAAAACAAAACUCAAAAUAAACACAAAUCGUAAUAAUAAUUUAUAAAAUAUAUAUCUAUCAUAUAUCUAUACUUACAACAUCUUAUCGAAAAGUAUUUGGAAAACAAUUUUUGAUAAUUAAUUUUAAAAAACUAAAACUAAAACAUUUUGGCAUAAGAAAGUGUGUAGGAAAGUGAAGUGAAUGAGGAAGAAGGAAAAACUUAAGAAAUUCAAAAUUAACAUUUGUAAAGAGUUUUACAAAUUGAGGAUUCAAUCUGGAUUCUGGUUUUGGAUUAAUGCGAAAAUUUGCAAUUGGAUAUUAAGGUAAGCGAAUUUCCUU